GCAGCAUCAGCCGCCUUCUCCUUCCCUUCUAUCCUCCGCUUCCUCCCCCUUCUCCCUCUCUCCGCCUCCCUCUUCUUCUUUCUCUCCUCUCUUCGCCUCUUCCCCUCCGCCCCUCUUCUUUUAUUUCUUUGCAGGACGACCGGCGACAACAACAUUCAGGCGAGGCGACCAGAAGCUCCGACCGGCGAAGCAACAUUCCGGCCACAGCAGCCACGCGAGGAUAGCCGCAGCAGCAACAACGUGACCAGCAGCUCCGACUGGCGAGCUGCUUUCUUCUCCGGACAGCAGCUCCGGUCAGCGAACUCCAUCAGGCGUCUUUGAAGUUUUAAGACGGAUCUAUGACAGAUCCUUCCGGGAAGUUUUGAUUUUUGAGCAUAAUGGUGGCUCCAUCUUCAACCUCUACCUCCCUGAAGGAGUACCUAAAAAAAUAUGAAAGUAACACCAAUGAAGAAGGAAAGAAGAAACAGAAGAAAAAGAAGAAGGUUAAACCUAAUGAUGUCAAAGGUGUCGUCGUUGUUGACGAAGAUCCUGUUUGGCAAAAGCCUGUAAAAAUUGAAGAUGAAGAGGAUGAGUCAGCUGAUGAAGAGCUGCCUCAGAUAAAUGAAGAUAUUGAAGUUAAGCGUAUGAAGAGAUUGGAACAGAUUAGAGCUAGACGUCCAUUUGGUUCUGUUUCAGAAGAUGGAAGUGGUUGGGUGUCUGUUUCAAGUACUUCUAAUGACCAAAUAUCUGAUUUGUCCCCGACAUGGAGAAGGCCUGGUCGAAAUGAUAGUCCCUCACCAGAACCUCAACUUAAUCUAUCAAGUCCUUCAGCUGAUUUAUCACCACCACGUAAAUCGAGGGCUCGAAAUGAUACACCCUCUCCAGAAAGUGAGCAACCAAGAACUCAGGAGGGUGAUCUGUCGCCACCCCGCAAACGUAGUGCCAGGAAUGAUACACAGAGGACUAGGAUUCUUACACCUUCACCUGAACCACAGUUGAAGCCUUCAAGUGCAAAAGAUGCUGAUUUGUCACCACCACGUAAGCGGAGGGUUCGGAAUGAUACACCUGAACCUGAAGUGAAGCCUUUGAGCACUAGAGAUGCUGAUAUUUCACCACCACGUAGACAAAGGGCUCGGAAUGAUACACCUGAAUCUGAUAUGAAGUCCUUGCGAAGUAGAGAUACGGAUAUCUCACCACCAAGGAGACGUAAAACUCGAAAUGAUACCCCUUCACCAGAACCCAAAGCCAGGCCUUCUGCUGAUUUAUCACCACCAAGACGGAGGCAAAAGUACGUCCAAAGUCUUUCUGAUAUCUCUGAUGUUUCUCCUCCUCGACGAGGUUCCCGUGCUCAAGGUGAUUCGAGAGCCGAUCAAGGUACAGAUCUCUCGCCCUUGAGGAAAAAGAAGGCCCAAAAUGUACUGGAGGCACGUCCAGAUUCAUCCACUACGAAGCAGGGACCAAAGACGGGUUUGGUUAGUGGCAAAGAUAUCAAAGAAGAAAUUGAUAGGACAAAGAAGGAAGACUGGAUGAGGUUUCAGGAAAUGGAUCCUUUGGUUAGUGGCCGUGGUGCUGAACCGGUAUAUCGGGAUAAAAUUACAGGACAACGGAUGUCAAAGGAGGAGUUCUUGAAGUCCAAGAAGAAGAAGGAUGAGAAGGAGAAGCCAAAGGAAAUAAAACUGGAAUGGGGAAAGGGCUUGGCUCAAAAGCGUGAAAUGGAGGUUAGGCUUCAGGAACUGGAAAAUGAGAAGGACAAGCCAUUUGCACGGAGCAGAGAUGAUCCAGAACUCGACACAAUGCUGAAGGAAAGAGUUCGAUGGGGGGACCCAAUGGCACAUUUGGUUAAGAAAAAGCUGGAUCCAAUUCUGCCAGACUUUGGGGCUAACGAGAAAAUGAAGGACUCUGGUUUUAUAAUCCCUCAGGAUAUCCCCUCUCACAGUUGGAUAAAAAGAGGCUUGGAUGCAGCACCUAAUCGUUAUGGGAUAAGGCCAGGGCGACACUGGGAUGGGGUUGAUCGGAGCACAGGAUACGAGAAGGAGUUGUUCAAGAGGACGAAUGAGAAACAAGCAACAGAAAGAGAAGCUUAUCUGUGGUCUGUGUCCGACAUGUAACUUGUUCAAGUUUCCUUUAACUUUUUAUAUUUCAACGAACACAACGAACGGCCUCUUCGCUAAUUUACAUAGGACUUGUGUCUUACAUAAUCACAACGUGUUGUCUUGCCUUGAGUAUCAACAAUCCAUUGUUAUCUUUUUUGUUGUAUAAGAUGUUGAAAAUGUUUCUGCGUUUCUUCUUUAUUCCUGGGUGAAAUUUUGAGUUAAUGCUUGAGAACAAUAAUUUGUAAGACAAAAACUUGCUAUGUUCAAUAUGUUUUUAUAUUUGUGUCUAUAUAAAAC
rnacentral:misc_RNA from 1 species